GCCUCAGUAGUGUAAUGAAUCAGCACGACAGACCGGAUAUGGGGGAGUGCGGGUUCGAGUCCCGCCUGAGGUU
rnacentral:tRNA from 1 species